AUUGAACGCUGGCGGCAGGCCUAACACAUGCAAGUCGAGCGGAUGAAGGGAGCUUGCUCCUGGCUUCAGCGGCGGACGGGUGAGUAAUGCCUAGGAAUCUGCCUGGUAGUGGGGGAUAACGUCCGGAAACGGGCGCUAAUACCGCAUACGUUCUGAGGGAGAAAGUGGGGGAUCUUCGGACCUCACGCUAUCAGCUGAGCCUAGGUCGGAUUAUCUAGUUGGUGGGGUAAAGGCCUACCAAGGCGACGAUCCGUAACUGGUCUGAGAGGAUGAUCAGUCACACUGGAACUGAGACACGCUCCAGACUCCUACGGGAGGCAGCAGAGGGGAAUAUUGGACAAUGGGCGAAAGCCUGAUCCAGACAUGCCGCGUGUGUGAAGAAGGUCUUCGGAUUGUAAAGCACUUUAAGUGGGGAGGAAGGGCAGUAAGUUAAUACCUUGCUGUUUUGACGUUACCAACAGAAUAAGCACCGGCUAACUUCGUG
rnacentral:rRNA from 1 species